GAGCACGUAGGUGGGUUUGUAAGUCAGAUGUGAAAGCCUUCUGUUCAACGGAAGAAUUGCAUCUGAAACUGCAAACCUUGAGUAUAGGAGGGGAGAAUGGAACUUCUGGUGGAGCGGUGAAAUGCGUAGAUAUCAGAAGGAACGCCGGCGGCGAAAGCGAUUCUCUGGCCUAUUACUGACACUCAGUGUGCGAAAGCUAGGGGAGCAAACGGGAUUAGAUACCCCGGUAGUCCUAGCCGUAAACGAUGGGCACUAAGUAGAGGGG
rnacentral:rRNA from 1 species